CCCGAAGUAUCCUGAAUCUUUCGCAUUGUUAAUCAUACAAGUGCAUAUAAUAAACACAAAAAUCAAUGAUAAUUAUGCCAUUAUAUAAUUCCGAAAAAUUAACGCACUGUAUUCUUAUUAAUCUAUCAACACUUUAUCAAAUUAAUGACAUUUAUCCUAUGUUAAAAUGCAAGCAUAAUAAUUUGAAUAAACUAUAAGUCAUAUUUUAUGAUAAAUUAGAUAUGUUAAUAGAUUACAAUGUCCUUAUAUGGAAAAAAUGCACACUAUUUCUAUAAUAUUAUUUAAAUAUUAUAACUUUAAUGAUGAAUUUUCCAUAAUGGAUAUUCAGGUUCAUCGGGC
rnacentral:rRNA from 1 species